CACGUAGGGUGCGAGCGUUGUCCGGAUUUAUUGGGCGUAAAGAGCUCGUAGGCGGUUCGAUAAGUCGGGUGUGAAAACUCUGGGCUCAACUCAGAGACGCCACCCGAUACUGUUGUGACUUGAGUCCGGUAGGGGAGUAUGGAAUUCCCGGUGUAGCGGUGAAAUGCGCAGAUAUCGGGAGGAACACCAGUGGCGAAGGCGGUACUCUGGGCCGGAACUGACGCUGAGGAGCGAAAGCGUGGGUAGCGAACAGG
rnacentral:rRNA from 1 species